rnacentral:rRNA from 1 species
CAGUCGCCACGGUAAUACGGAGGGAGCUAGCGUUGUUCGGAAUUACUGGGCGUAAAGCGCACGUAGGCGGUUAUUCAAGUCAGAGGUGAAAGCCCGGGGCUCAACCCCGGAACUGCCUUUGAAACUAGAUGACUGGAAUCUUGGAGAGGUCAGUGGAAUUCCGAGUGUAGAGGUGAAAUUCGUAGAUAUUCGGAAGAACACCAGUGGCGAAGGCGACUGACUGGACAAGUAUUGACGCUGAGGUGCGAAAGCGUGGGGAGCAAACAGGAUUAGAUACCCCGGUAGUCCCUGUCUCUUAUAC